rnacentral:lncRNA from 1 species
CAGGAAUGUUUCUUGGGAUACUUGAUGUGUCAAGUGGGCGAGAUGCGCAGUCUGUGUUUGACUUUGUGAAUUAUGAGAUGUCUGAGAUUAAGUUCAUAGAGAAACUCGUUGUCCAAACCUACGAUGGCGCAGCUGUAAUGGAAUGUAUAUGCUAUAUGUAUUUACAGCUAAGUCCCCUCCUGUUCCCUGAUUAAGAAGUGAUGACCACUCCACUCCACUACCAUUGUCAACUUUCUCCUGACAUGAACUGAAGCCAUGUCUCAUGUGCCCGCUCAUCCACUGGCACAUUGAAUGUUUCCCCUCCAAGCACUUCAAAUCCUGUCCUGCACUUGUCAAGCCUCUGAACUCCUCAACUCAUGCCUCAUACCCUCAUUCAAUCACUGCUGUGAUCCCUUUACAGCACGGUCAUUUCAUUUCACCAAGCCUCCUUCCAACCUGGACUCAGUAAACACCAGAGGAGUUGACGCCAGUCCAGUGGUCCAUGUGUCACCUUGUCUGCUCUGAGAGAUGACUAAUAGAACUCUCUGACCUGAGAUGUGUUAGGUGUUCUAGUUCUCUCUCUCUCUCUCAGUUCAAUUCAAGGGGCUUUAUUGGCAUGGGAAACAUGUGUUAACAUUGCCAAAGCAAGUGAGGUAGAUAAUAUACAAAAGUGAAAUAAACAAUCUAUCACUCUCUCUCUACUCCCUCUCUCUCUCUCUUUCUGCCUCUCUCUCUCUCUCUUGCCAAAGCAAGUGAAGUAGAUAAUAUACAUAAGUGAAAUAAACAAAAAUGAACAGUAAACAUUACAUUCACAGAAGUUCCAAAAGAAUAAAGACAUUACAAAUGUCAUAUUAUAUAUACAGUGUUGUAACGAUGUACAAAUGGUUAAAGUACAAAAGGGAAAAUAAAUAAGCAUAAAUAUGGGUUGUAUUU